rnacentral:rRNA from 1 species
GAUGAACGCUGGCGGCGUGCCUAACACAUGCAAGUCGAACGGCAGGACGGUAAGAUUGUGUCCUUGCUGUUGGCGGCGGGCGGGUGAGUGACACGUGGAUCGCAAACUUAUUUGUCUGGGAUGAUUACGGAAGAAAGUAGACACUAAUAGCUCAUAUUUUGUACCGCAUGGUUCAAGGGAGCUUGUCGGCCUUGCUGUCUGUAAUAGCUGGUUCCGCGCUGUAUUAGCUAGUUGGUAGGGUAACGCCUUACCAAGGCAACGAUGCGUAGCCGAGCUGAGAGGAUGAUCGGCCACACUGGAACUGAGACACGGUCCAGACUCCUACGGGAGGCAGCAGUAGGGAAUCUUCGGCAAUGGGCGAAAGCCUGACGGAGCAACGCCGCGUGAGUGAUGAAGGUCUUCGGGUCGUAAAGCUCUUUUAUUGGGAAAGAACAGAUGUAGGAUUAUCCGUCGACGUCCUGACGGUACCUAAUCAAAAAGCAACGGCUAACUACGUG